rnacentral:rRNA from 1 species
AUCAUUACCGAGUGAGGGUGGAAACACCCGACCUCCAACCCCAUGUCGUUACAACCUUUGUUGCCUCGGGGGCGACCCGGCCUCGCGCCGGGGCCCCCGACGGACCAGCUCACUCUGCGUCUUUGCGUCGGAGUCACAAGUAAAUUGAAUCAAAACUUUUAACAACGGAUCUCUUGGUUCUGGCAUCGAUGAAGAACGCAGCGAAAUGCGAUAAGUAAUGUGAAUUGCAGAAUUCAGUGAAUCAUCGAAUCUUUGAACGUACAUUGCGCCCCUUGGUAUUCCGGGGGGCAUGCCCGUUCGAGCGUCAUUAUCAACCCUCAAGCUCGGCUUGCUGUUGGGUCACGCCGUUGAACAAACGGUGGGUCCAAAAGAUAAUGGCCAGAGUCGGUAGGACCCUGGAUGCAGCGAGCUUCUCAGCACGCGUCCAGAUGGUGUUCCGGCUUGGUCUUAAACCAUCAAUUUCUUCUGGUUGACCUCGGAUCAGGUAGGGAUACCCGCUGAACUUAAGCAUAUCAAUAAGCGGAGGA